rnacentral:rRNA from 1 species
UACGUAGGGGACGAGCGUUGUCCGGAAUUACUGGGCGUAAAGGGCGCGCAGGCUGCGCGUCGAGUCGGCUGUUAAAGAUCCGGGCUUAACCCGGUGAAGCGGUCGAGACCGACGAGCUGGAGUGCUGCAGAGGCAAGUGGAAUUCCCGGUGUAGCGGUGAAAUGCGUAGAUAUCGGGAAGAACACCGGUGGCGAAGGCGACUUGCUGGGCAGCAACUGACGCUGAGGCGCGAAGGCGUGGGGAGCGAACGGGAUUAGAUACCCGCGUAGUCA